AAAUUAGGGUCGGUCGCGCAACAACAUGCUAGCUCUGAUUUUAUGUUCUUAGGACAUUUUAAGGAGUCUACGCUAAUAACCCAAUAACAUUUCUGUUCAGAAGGUUUUCUUGGUCAUUUGGGUCCUUUGUCGAAAGACAAAAAACCGGGAAAUGGCGGAUGUUGCGCCUGAUGGCCGAUCUAAUUUU
rnacentral:telomerase_RNA from 1 species